AUUGAACGCUGGCGGCAUGCUUUACACAUGCAAGUCGAACGGUAACAGGCCGCAAGGUGCUGACGAGUGGCGAACGGGUGAGUAAUGCAUCGGAACGUGCCCAGUCGUGGGGGAUAACUACUCGCAAGAGUAGCUAAUACCGCAUACGAUCUCAGGAUGAAAGCGGGGGACCUUAAGGGCUCGCGCGAUUUGAGCGGCCGAUGUCAGAUUAGGUAGUUGGUGGGGUAAAGGCUCACCAAGCCAACGAUCUGUAGCUGGUCUGAGAGGACGACCAGCCACACUGGGACUGAGACACGGCCCAGACUCCUACGGGAGGCAGCAGUGGGGAAUUUUGGACAAUGGGCGCAAGCCUGAUCCAGCAAUGCCGCGUGCAGGAAGAAGGCCUUCGGGUUGUAAACUGCUUUUGUACGGAACGAAACGGCUCGGGUUAAUACCCGGGGCUAAUGACGGUACCGUAAGAAUAAGCACCGGCUAACUACGUG
rnacentral:rRNA from 1 species